UUGGAUAAAUCCACAAACCGAAUAAAAGAAACAAAAAUGGAUCCAACCUUGUAUCUAAAAUAUCAGUAAUGGUUAUUUUUCACUUGCUGAAUAUCUUAAAAGGGAUGAAUAUCCAACGUUGUAUCACUCCAACAGGCAACACAAUCUUACACGUGGUGGCCCAUUAUGGCCACUCACAUUUAGUGCCAGAAGUCGUUAAGAUUAGUCCGGAAUUGUUAUGCCAUCAGAGCAAGAAGAAUGAAACUACGCAUCACGUAAUGAAGGUCACAUCGAAGUAGUCCAUUCGCUACUUAGUAUGGAGGAGCAUUAUAAGGAGACACUCAUGAGGAUGACAGAUGAUAAUGGAGAUACAGCGCUGCACAUGGCCGUGUGGAGCCGACAUCAAGAUGAAGCCAGACUCUUGGUGAAAGAAGAUCCUGAAUUCGAAUUUCCAUCCAACAAGGCUCGGGAGAUACCACUGUAUCUGGCAGCUGAGUCUGGUCUUCGUAAAGCUUUGAGUGAAAUCUUGGACUCAUGCAAGCAACCAACUUCUUCUACAGGUCCAUUAAAUCGAACACCUCUGCAUGCAAAAGUAAUUCAGGAACACACAGGUAUGUACAUAUUCUCUUGCCGUUACUCUCACUGUAUUAACAUCUCUUUUAGAUUCUUGUUACUAUCUGUUGUUUCUUGUACUUUGACUAUUUUAUACUAUUGUUCUGUUUUGGACUGUUUUGAGCUGAGAGUCUAUCAGAAACACUCUCUCUGCCUCUGAAAUAGUGGUAAGGUCUGUGUACACUCUACCCCCGACCCCCUUAGUGAGAGUACACUGGGUAUAUUGUAGGUGUCGUUGUAUUAACAUCUAGCUACACUUUGAUUUUCCCAUAACAUUAUUGUCUACAUAAAUUUGGAGUAAUCAUUUCACAUAAUCUCGUUAGGAUCUUUGUAACAUACUCCAUUCAAAUGCAUGCAAUAUAAAAUUAACAUUCACAUCACUUGUUUCAUGAGACCUCUCUAAAGUCUAAACACAGUUGAUUUGAUCAAGUUUUUCGGGGAGUCAGAAGUGCUUAUUUUAGAGAGUUAUGGUGUUUGUCUCUCUAAGUACUUAUAGAACCAUGACCAAACACUAUUUUCUGCUCUAAUGUUGCAUUUAACCAAACACUGUGUCCAUAGGUUGGAGUAGGAGAGUUUGUUAGUGUACAGUAUUACUUUGUUUGUGUCUUAGUUCUAUUAUUUCAUCUUGUUUCAUGUUUUAUUUCAACUUUGUUUACUGUCCUUUGUCUUGAGCCCGGGGUCUAUCGGAUACAGCCUCUCUACUACUUUGGCGGUAGUGGUAUGGACUGCGUAUAUUUUACCCUCCUCAAACCCCACUAUGUGGGAAUACACUGGGUUUGUUGUUGUUGUUUUCAAAAUAAGCAGAUUUUGAAAGCUUUGAAAAAACAAGCUAUUAUUCUAGUUAACUAGUAACUUUUGACACAUGCAUCCAGAUUGCGCGAGAUUGCUAAUGCAAUGGAAUAGAUCGUUGUGUAAGGAACCUGACGUUGGGGGUUGGAAUUCGCUGCACUUUGCUGCUCUUUUGAGAUUGAAAGAAGUAGUUUCCGAUAUGCUGGUGUGGAAAAGAUCCUUAGCCUACCUUCUAGUAGGCAGUGAAAAUGACUGGACAACAGCAAUUCACAUUGCAGCCAGUGCAGGUAAGAUAGAUGUUUUACAUGAGCUAUUAAAUCACUGCCCUGAUUGCUGGGAAAUGCUUGACAGCAAUGGCCGAAAUGCUAUUCAUGAAGCCAUAUUCUGCAGUAAAGCAAAUGUGGUCAGUUACUUACUGAAGUCCAGAAAGUAGGAUAAGCUUAUCGAGGAUCUAGACAAUGAUGGCAACAGUUCUCUCCAUUUGCUUGCUUCCUCUGAUUUUUGGGGCUAUGUGCCAUUACAAUUAAAAUUUCAUCCCCGAGCAAAGAACUGUCAUAUAACAAGGAAAACAAGACUCUUUGUGACGUAGCAGUGUCUUGCACAGAGUGGACGGCAGACAACAAGACUCCUUGUGACGUAGCAGUGUCUUGCACAGAGUGGACGGCAGACAAGGAUAGAAUCGCGCCCAGCUUAUUUAAUGAUUUCUUUAUUUACAUUGCUCAUUUGGGAGGAUGUUUAACCAAGAUGAACCAGAUGGAUCCUCGUCCAAUGUCCUAUAAGGAUUUGGGUUAUUUGUGGUCUCUCAGUAAAGUUGGAGCUAGGUCACAGCUCGUGGUAAUGUCAGCAGUUGUAAUUGCAUUUGUAAUUGGUAUGUAUGCUACUUUAGCACAUUCAGUUGGUCUCUCUAUUACUGUCUGUUCCAUCGGUUGCAUCUCUUUCAUUAUGUACGUGUGGGCAGCGCUGAGGCCAGUAUGCUGGAUAGGUGUAGCAAAAAGGUAAUGUAUACGUACAAAAAGUAUUUUUGACAUGUAUACUUUGUGUAAUUUUCUUUAUACAUGAUAUAAAUUCAUUGGUUGCACCUCUUUCCUUGUGUACAAACUACUGUUAUGUUCCUUGAACUGAACUCGCGAUAUAUAUAUUAGAAAUAUGUGCAAAAAAGACUAGUGAAAUUAAUGAACAUGAGCGGAGACAAUGAUUUCAAGUGUUAGUAAUUGAAUUCCUAAAGAUUACAAAUACGAGUCUAGAACAUUGAAGUGGGAUGACCGGUGAAGGAUCCAAAGGACAUGUUGUGAACACGGAUACCCCAGAGGCUAGGCAUACUGUUGUGCCCGAGGCUAAACCCCAAAGAGGCCCAAGAAUUAGACAGACCAAUUAAAAUUACUAGACGUUCACAUCACUAAUUAAAAUUAUGUGAUUGUCCUAAUUAAGUUAACUAAACAACUGAGUAUAUUUCAAGAUGUUCUUAGGACAAGCUCCAAUAAUUGUAAAGAAACAAGUGAGUCCUAAAACAUUCUUUUGCCAAGCCUUACAAACCUCAAAAUGACUAGUUAAUCAUUUUCUGUUGCAUACAUUUUGGUUGAUUAAUUUUUAUGCUUCUUGGAUUAUUCAUUCAAUGCUAUGACGGGUGAUCUUCCUCACAGAUUAAAGGCACUGACUAGUAUGAACAAAAUGUAAGAGAAAAUAAAUUAGUUCCUACUAUUUUUUUUAAUUAAAUAUGACGUGGAACUCUAGUAAGAUAAAACAUGGAAAAGCUAUUUUAGAAAAACUACCAUUAAUAAGCACUGGCAUGUAUGAACCUGUUUUGUAACGCCAAUCGCAUAAAUGAGCCAAACUUUUAACGGAUGGUAUAAAUGAGCCAUUUCUGAUAGUUCGAUGGCAUAUUUGAGUCUUUUCUCUUUGUUUUAAUUAAUGAUGUGGGCCUCUAGUAAUACGACACAUGGAAAGCUAUUUUUGAAAAACCACCAUUAACAAGUAAUGGCAUGAAUGUACCUAUUUUGUAAUGGCGAUGGCAUAAACGAGCCAACUUUUAACCGAUGAAAUAAAUGAGUUGUUAAGGCAUAAGGAGUUUUGAUGAUAGACAUGUGAAUGAAACGUGUUGUAGAAGCUGGUCCAUUCAAGUGAAAUAGUCUAGCUGGCACAGGAGUUUGGAUGAUAUGAUUCUGCGUUCAAGACAAGCAUAGAUAACAUUGAUCACAUCAGAAGAUGAGUCAAACAAGAAGUCUUGAAGAAGUCAAGUUAAUCAAGGAGUUUAGUAAGAAGAGGAUUUGUAACACCCCAAAUUUCCGAACUAGAAAUUGAACCGUCGUUGUAACACCCCCGUAACAAACCCUCCAUAUGUUAUAAUCUAGUAGCAUGCUUAUAGAGUUGAAAACUUGAAAAAUUUUCUAAGUGUCAAAGAGACUUAGUCUCAUUUUAAACUCUCAAUCUUUGGGAAUUUUAUUUGCAGUCCUCCCGACCUCCGAUUUUAGAUUUUCUUAUUGAGUUGCGAUGGGGCAAGGUCGUAGUACAUCUCGAAUGAGUUUCAGAAUUUUUAGACGAGCCUAACGGCAUUUUUGGUGUUCCAUUCCAGUAGCUCCGCUCGAUAAGGGGGCGCCGCCCGGGCUACUCCACCGCUCUAAGGCAGGCGCCACUCGGGAUAUCUCACUGCUCUAAGGUGGGCGACGGCUGGGGUACUCCGGUGCUCUAGGCAGGGCGCCGCCUGAGAUAUCGCACCCAGCCUAUUUUCAGCAUCCUUGUCCAUUUCAUUAACGAUAUUUUGGGUAUUUUUCAAUCCCCCAAUCCUCUUAAACACGGGAUUACAACCCCAAAACACCCCAAUACUCAUAUUUCUCUCAAUUUUCUUCAAGAACACUCCCUAGUGUUUCAAACAAGAUUCCCAAAUAAAUCAAGAUUCAACUGUGGGUUUUCAAAAUAAAUUGGACAUUUGGAAUCCCCAAGCCGUGGGCAUCAAGAAGCAUCCAUUAUUUUCCGAAAUAGAGGCACAUGGGGUUCAUCCUAAAAAAACUACAUGGGGCUUAAAAUCAAUAAGAGCAUGACUUUAAGAUUUUUAUGCAUGAAUUUCAAAGGGGUUUUGAAAUCUAUGUUCUAAAUUACAUAUUCCGAAUGUUUUAAUGUUCGAAUUGUUUUGACCUUGUGGUCUUAUCCUCUAAAUGGAUUUACAUGUAUAUGUAUGGAAUUUGAGAUUUAAGAUUGUUUGAGAGCAUAAAUUAUGAACUCUCUCUCUUGUAUUGGAUUAAAUAUUUUGGUUUUAUGAUUUAGAAGAUGUCUUCGCAAUAUUAUAGCAUUUGAGUAUGAUUUGAAAUUGUUGAGAGGGUGUUUCUUGAUAUAAAUGUGUCCUUGUGUUUGAAAGAAAGAAUUUCAUGUGAAUUGAGAACUUUGACAUGACCACCCUGUGCUGUUGAAAUGCUUGACAAAGAUGAGUCCUUUGCUUGUGUUUACAUAAGGUUUGAGAAAGAGUCUCUUUGAAUUGAAUUAUUGAAAUGGUGGUUCAAAACUUGUGUUUUGAAAAUAGAGAUUUAUGACAGAAUAAUAAUAGCUCAGAGAUGUGACUUGCAAGUCAAUGGUAUGACGAUACCAUAUGUAUUUAUGCCAUAACAGAUUAUGUUUUCAAAGUAUAUUUUCAGAGCAUGUUUUCAAAGUAUGUUUUCAGAGCAUGUUUUCAGCAACUGCAUGUUUUGAUAGAGUUUUAAAAAGGAGCUUAAAGAGGGUUAGGUGGAUACCCAAAGAAGGUGUGAGUUCAAGCAACUCUUAGCCUAAAAUCAUAUUUGCCAAUACGGGUAGAUUAUUAUUGUAUGCUAGCAAUGGCUGUGUAACGUAGUUGAUUCAGAGACUCCAACCCUUUCAGCACACUUGGGUUGGGGGCUUCAUUUUUGAUUUAAUGGCAGUUUCCAUAUAGCCUAUGGAAUUUUUCAGAGUUGUAGGGUAUACCACCUAACACAGAUGUAAUACCGAUUUCUCAGAGUCAUGAUGAUUUUCACAGAGUUUUUUAAAAUGCCCAUGUGAUUUCUUACUGUAUGAGAUAUUUAUGAACUCUUUUAAAAUGCUCUCAUAUAUGUUGAUUAUAAAUGAUUAUUUUGGAUUUUCUCUGCGUACCAGUACAUCUGUAUUAACCCUCCUCCUCCUUUUAGGUUCUGAGGUUCAGUCUAGGGACCAGAUAAGCAGUAGAUAAUUUCAACAGGUGAUCAGAUUGUGCAGUAAUGAGCCUUCUCUAUUCCAGAAGGCCUGUCUUUUCAGAUUAUGAUACAUUUCUAUUUUGUUCUACUGGGGCCUUGUCCUAUCUUUAGACCAUUGUCAAAUUUUUAUGUAGUAGAGAUUUCGCAGACUGAGUCAGAUGAUGUUUAGAUAUUGUUGGAGUUUUCCUUCAUUGUUAAACUAAUUUCAGAGUAUGACCAUGUUUUAGUAUUCGAUGUAUAAUUCCACUUUUUUUUGUAUGAAUGUUGUGAAAGAUUACCAGAUAGAGAAGGGCAUUUUCGAGCCUUCCUGAUUCGGGAUGUCCGUCACGGCCAGGCCCUAGUUUGGAUCAUGACAAACUUGGUAUCAGAGCACGGUUCAUGGUUCUAGGGUAUCUGUAAAAUCGCGUCGAGUAGAGACUUGUUUAUGGGUAUGUAGCGCACCACACUUAUAAGCAGGAGGCUACAAGGCAUUUAGGAACGUCUCUCUUUCUUUAUGUUCUAGUUCUUACAAUAGAGUCAGAAUGUUCCUCUUUCAUACUCUAAUUCAUGCUAUGGUGUCACCCAUACAAAAGUAAUAGUCAUCCCAAUUCUUUCCUUACUCUGAUGUUCUCAGACAUGUCUCAUUAUUAGGCUGAUUCAAGUACAUAAGCUUAGAGUCUAAAUGGUAUGGUUCUUUCAGAUUGGAUUAUAUAAGAUUUUUUGCAAGGAUGAGGGAUGGGUACUUUAGUGCUUCAGGGUGUAUUGGUUCUGGUGUAAACCUUGACCUGAAUGAAAUCGUGUUCUUUAGCCUGCAGUACUAAGAGUAUUCGGUCCUUUUCAAAAUUAUGUUAUAGAUGUCAUAUUUCAGAGGGAAUAAUGUAUAAAAUAACGUUGGAACUACAUUUCCACCCCAAUAGUAGUAUAAGUUAAUAGUAGUAUAAGUUAAAUUAUCAGUGUCAUCACCUAUUUGUAAUAAAAAAUUAGACAAAGAAGUUGGCGAUGUAAAGUCAUAGAGUUAGUAGUCAGAGUAAGGGCAACUUUUGUGUAAAUAAAUACUUUAAUUGAAUAACCAAUGUUUGAGGAUGAUUUACCUCUCUAUAGUGGUAGACUAAUGUGAUAGCUAGUAGCAUGUGUGGAUUGUAUGUUAGUCAGUGGGAGAGGUGUUUGAAUCAAAUUUCUAUUUAUACAGAGUAAGAUGUGUAUUCUUAGGUCAUUGAACAUCGUGUGUAAAUCUACUAUCUCUGAUAGUAUGCAACCUUGAUAUCAUAGUGUUUUUGGAAAAAAAAUCAAAGUCUAGUGAAGCCUUGUGGGGAUCUUUCAAUUCACUAGCAUAGUUAUCUUGUUAUUCAUCUUUUUUUCUUGUUCAAAACACAAAAUCAAAGUCUAGUGAAGUCGUGUGAGGCCAUUUCGAUUCACUAGCAGUUUGUUGUUCAUCUUGUUGUUCUGGUGUUGGUUGAAUAUAUGUAUAGCCGAAUCUUUUUGCAUGAGAGUGAGUUAGUAAUGAAGUGAUAUGUCCUUGUGUGUUAGUUUAGUAGAAGGUAGAGAAGGAGUUAUUAGUUAAGGUGAAUUGUUGAUUGCUUGAAGUAUGAAAAGAGUUGUUGACGGUGUUUGUUAUGAGAAAGGAAGGUAUAGUUUAUUGAUGAAGGUACUCGGUGGAAGAGUGUUGUUGAAUUAGAUGUCCCUGAUAUUGCAAAAGGGAGUUUAAUUGAGACUUAUAGAGCUUUGCCCUAAUUUUAGUUGUAUAAAGGGUAGAUAGUAAUGUUGUGUACAAGGAGGACGUGUUAAUGGGUUUUAAAUAAGAUAGAUAAUAGGACUGUGAUUGAUCCUUACUGUUAUGAAGUUUUGGUGGAUUAAUGUUUUCAGAUGUUUGGCAUGUAAGAAUAUUUUAUGAAGUUGUGGUUCUUCGUAGCUAGAACUAGACACUAAGUUGGAAUAGUAGAUGGUGAUCAAGGUGGGUAUAAUGAAUAAUGUGGUAGACUCUAGUUGUGUAAAAAUGACCUAGUAGGCUUGAAUAGCUUAUACAAGAGCUUAAGUUUAUUUGAUUCGAAAUUAAGUCUGGUGUUGUAAGUAUGAUGUAGAAGUACGCCCAAGGUGCUAUGGGGCUGUAUUAUUUUUUUGGAUCAUUGCAUACUGUGUGGAUUAGUAGUACCGUUGAUUUGCUAGGUGGAGAUAGACUAGUUAAAUAAUAUGUGAUGUUUGUGACAGCUAAGUUAUGGAGUUAUGAUUAAGGAUGUUGAGCCCUUUUAAGGAUGAUUUUGAUUCUCAUGGCUUGGAAGAGAGAUAUAAGUUUUGAGAUGUGAUACCGGUAGACUAUGAUGGAAGAAGUAUGAUGUAUUUAAGGUUGAUGAUAUCCAUGUUUAGUGUUAGAAUCUAAGUUAGUGAAUAUUUAAGUUGUUAUAUGGCGACUUUUGGGGCUAUAGAAGCCUAAGGGUUGAAUCUUAGAAGGAGAUAUUAGUAUUAGGUGUUAUACACAAAGUUACCAUCUUUCAAAGUAAGUUUAGUUUUAUGUGUAUUGUAUAUCCCAGACUCUAGAGUAGAGUGAUUUCAGUUUAAGCGUGUAUACAGUGGUUCACAGUCUCAAAGUGAUGGCUUGAAUCUAAGGGGGAGAUGAUAGAACGAGUAACCAAGUCCAGUGUUUAAAUUUUAAUUGUUGUGCUAGUGAGUGGUGGAAUAGCUGUGACAAGAGUGAUGCUCAAUCUAUUCUUAUUUCAGCAGUUUGCUUUAGUUAUUCCGAUACAUACUCAUGUCUUAUGGUUCAGCUCCACGAUCAUAGUUCGUAUUCAUGAAUAUGAUAGGAAAUCAUGUACUCUCCUAGCUCCUAGUAUGAUGAGUUCCCAGUUGGUGCAACAGUCAGAAUCACUUUCCGUAAGUUAUGAAUUACAAAAUUCAGGUCAUGCAGUUCAUGACUCUUGUACGCAUGUGAUACUUGAAACGAUCAGUGAAAAAAAAUUUCAGAUUUUAUAUCAGGUACGUCCUCAGAUUAGAUCCCUUUAAUGAGUCCAUGCCGUGAGUGCUCUAUUCCUCACGCCUCAGAAGGGUAUUAAGUUAUGCUUAGUACUCCCCUCAUGUUUCGGAUCCCGCUAUUCCAACUUUUCAGUGACCUUUCCCUUAGGCCGAGAUAGUGAUGAUGAACAAUUGUCUAGAUAGGAGAGAGUAAACAUUUCUUCUUGAUGAAAGAUAGUUGUGUGCUUAUUUGAGAUAAGGCAGUAAUUAUGGAGUAAGAUUGAGUCCAAGUCUAUAAGUUUGAAAGAAUUUUGAGGUGAAGUUUCGUGUAUGGCUUGGUUAGUUGAGAAUAUUUUAUGUGUAUCAUCUGAAUAAUGCAGGGAAGUUGUUAUGGAUAGAAGUAUUAGAGAAUAUGAGGAAGGUGUUUUCCAUGUUUUUGUUUAGAAGUGCAUAUGUGGGUAAGAAUAUAGUCGUGAAUGUCAUGUUUGUUUACAUAUGGAUGGAUGCUUUGAGUGUUUGUGAAUGUCUAAUCUGAAGUUGAAUGUGAUUGUGGGAGUGGUAAUAAGUAUUAUGCAUGAGAUGAGGAAUUGUGAAAUACAGGGUAUACUGAAUUUAUGAUUCAGACUAGUACUAUAGUAUUAUGUGGUGCGUCUUAUGGUUUGAGUUAGGCAUGAAGACAGCGAGAGGAUUUAGUUCAGUUUAGACAUUAGUAGAUGGAGAUAUCAGUGACCAUGGGAGGAAAAUAAGUGGAAUCAAUGAGCAUGAUAUUUAAGGGGAAGAGUAUAGUUGAGAGAGUAUUUUAGAAGUGUGGCUAACCUUAAAGUAAGAAGUUGCUUUGCUUAAGGUGUGAUAAUUCUAUCCUAGUUAAUGAGUUAUAUGUCUAUAUUCUGGGUUAAAAAGUAAUGUCAUUGUUGUGAUUCCUUAAUUGGAUGUCUUGUGUAACUCUUGCCCAAGAUCCCUUGAUUUCUAAGGCUAAUAGAACUUCUUUAUAAAGGGUGUUGAAUAAAUACUCCAGUUAAGUAUAAGUGUCCAUUUAAUUCAGUCUGUAUAUCCAGCAAUUCAGUUUAACAGUCAGGCUAAUCAGUUACUGUGGUUUUCCACCUUUUCACGCAGUCCUACUAUCCAAAGUGUCAUGCGUGUGACCAUCCCAGGAUAUAAUCUAUUCCAUCCAUGUAAAUUGUGAAUUCAGUUCAUUCCAAGCAUCAUGUUUCAGAUUCAGCCAUUUGGUCAUCGCUCGGUGCAUAAAAGUUCAGCGCAUAAUCUCAAAAUUUCUAAGUAUUUUAGCUCAGAUAGUGUAAUGCCCUUAUGAGGCCUAAGUCUGGUUGUCUCAUGAUUCGUACUUUCAUAAGUCAUCGCUUCUCAAUUCAAUAUGUAUAAUUUGACCAUGAGUACUUUCAGAGAAUCCUAAACUCUCAGCAUCAAUCAGCUUCUUACAGCGAGUAAAGUCAAGUCAGCUCAGAAUUCAAUUUUAUGAUAGAAGUUUAAAUAUUUCAGAUCAGAUAUAUCCUUCUUAGAGGACACAUAAUGUCAGCGUUAUUCCAUACCUUUGAUCUUCAACAAGUUCCUACCCAUCAUUCAUGGACGAAUGAUCCCAAGGAGAAGAUAAUGUAACACCCCAAAUUUUUGAACUAGAAAUCGAACCGUCGUUGUAACACCCCCGUAAGAAACCCUCCAUAUGUUAUCAUCUAGUAGCAUGUUUAUAGAGUUGAAAUCUUGAAAAUUUUUCUAAGUGUCAAAGAGACUUAGUCUCAUUUUUAACUCUCAAUCUUCAGGAAUUUUAUUUUCAGUCCUCUCGAUCUCCGAUUUUAGAUUUUCUUGUUCGUUGCGAUGGGGCAAGGUCGUAGUGCAUCUCGGAUGAGUUUCAGAAUUUUUAGACGAGCCUAAAGGCAUGUUUAGUGUUUCAUUCCGGUAGCUCUGCGCGAUAAGGGGGCACCGCUUGGGCUACUCCACCGCUCUAAGGCAGGCGCCGCCAGGGCUAUCUCACUGCUCUAAGGCGGGCGACGCUUUGGGUACUCCGGUGCUCUAGGCAGGGCGCCGCCUGAAAUAUCAUGCCCAGCCUAUUUUUAUCAUCCUUGUCCAUUUCAUUAAGGGUAUUUUGGGUAUAUUUUUAAUCCCCCAAUCCUCUUAAACACGGGAUUACAACCCCAAAACACCCCAUUACUCAUAUUCUCUCAAUUUUCUUUAAGAACACUCCCGAGGGUUUCAAACAAGAUUCCCAAAUAAAUUAAGAUUCAACCAUGGGUUUCAAAACAAAUUGGAGAUUUGGAAUCCCCAAGACAUGGGCAUCAAGAAGCAUCCAUUAUUUUUCGAAAUAGAGGUACAUGGGGUUCAUCCUUAAAUAACUAUAUGGGCUUAAAAUCUAUAAGAGCAUGAUUUUAAGAUUUUUAUGCAUCAAUUUCAAAGGGGUUUUGAAAUCUAUGUUCUAAAUUACAUAUUCCGAAUGUUUUAACGUUCUAAUUGUUUUGACCUUGUGGUCUUAUCCCCUAAAUGGAUUUACAUGUAUAUGUAUGGAAUUUGAGAUUUAAGAUUGUUUGAGAGUAUAAAUUAUGAACUCUCUCUCUUGUAUUGGAUUAAAGAUUAUGGUUUUUUGAUUUAGAAGAUGUCUUCGCAAUAUUAUAGCAUUUGAGUAUGAUUUGAAAUUGUUGAGAGGGUGUUUCUUGAUAUAAAUGUGUCCUUGUGUUUGAAAGAAAGAAUUCCAUGUGAAUUGAGAACUUUGAGUCGUUUGCAUGUGUUUACAUGAGGUUUGAGAAAGAGUCUCUUUGAAUUGAAUUAUUUAAAUGGUGGUUCCAAACUUGUGUUUUUAAAACAAAGAUUUAAGACAGACAAAUAAUGGCUGAGAUAUGUGACUUGCAAGUCAAUUGUAUGAUGAUACCAUAUGUAUUUAUGCCAUAACGGAUUAUGUUUUCAGAGUCUGUUUUCAAAGUAUGUUUUCAGAGCAUGUUUUCAGAGACUCCAUGUUUUGAUAGAGUUUUAAAAAGGGGCUUAAUGAGGGUUAGGUGGUUAACCGAAGAAGGCGCAAGUUCAACCAACUCUUAUCCUGAAAUCGUAUUUGCCGAUAUAGGUAGAUUAUUAUUGUACGCUGGCGACGGCCGUAUGGCGUAGUAGAUUCAGAGACUCUGACCAUUGUGGCACACUUAGGUUGGGAGCUUCGCUAUUGAUUUAAUGGCAGUUUCCAUAUAGCCCAUGGAAUUUUUCAGAGUUGCAGGGUAUACCACAUAACGCAGAUGUAAUACAGAUUUCUCAGAGUCAUGAUGAUUUUCACAGUCUUUAAAAUGCCCAUGUGAUUUCUUACUGUAUGACAUGUUUAUGAACUAUUUUAAACUACUCUCAUAUAUGUUGAUUAUAAAUGAUUAUUUUGGAUUUUCUCUGCAUACCAGUACAGCUGUAUUGACCCCCCUCCUCCCUCCAGGUUCUGAGGUUCAAUCUAGGAGUCCAGAUAAGCAGUAGAUAAUUCCGACAGGUGAUCAGAUUGUGCAGUGGUGAGCCUUCUCCAAUUCAUAUUAUGACAAUUAUUUCAGUUUUGGUCUACUGGGGCCUUGUCCCAACUUUAGACCGUUGUCAGAUUUUCAUGUAGUAGAGAUUUUGCAGACUGAGUCAGAUGAUGUUUAGAUAUUGUUGGAGUUUUCCUUCAUUGUUAAACUAAUUUUAGAUUAUGACCAUGUUUCCGUAUUCGAUGUAUAAUUUUGCAUUUCUUUUUUGUUUGAAUGUUGUACAAGAUUACCAAAUAGAGAAGGGUGUUUCGGGCCUUCCUGGUUUGGGAUAUCUGUCACGGCUAGGCCCUAGUUUUGUUCAUGACAGGAUUUGAAGUAAAAGAGUCCUAUCAAAUCUAGGAGAGGUGAGGUGGCAACAAAAGGAAAAGAGUUAACUGACAGAGUUCUACUGAAGAAAAAAUUGAACAUCCAAAAGGACUCUAUCACAGGUUGGCUUAAAUACAGCAAAUGUGACUCAAAGGCAGUACUCACGCAUGCACUGAAAAGUUAAUCAACAGUUAUCAUAAAAGUUCACGUACUUGAAGAAGAACCUAGUCUUUUACUUAGCAGGUCAUAAACUGUGUAGUAGGUAGGUUCUUUGUAUUGUAAUGAGUCAUUGAUUCUAGUCCCAGUAAUCUAUAAACUGAGUUAGGAGUUGUUGUCUUCAAGUUUGGGAACUCGAAGACUUAGGAACACUUAUCUUGGGAAGAUUAGUGUUUUUGUAGUGAUAGGAGUUAGAAGUUUUAAUUCCUAGUUUAUAUGAAGUCUUGUAAUUUUGUUGAUUGUUGAGGCUCAAGUAUUUUAGUGAAGUUUAGGUUAAAUCCUGUAGAGGUACAAGUCAUGGUUUUUACACCUUUCUUGAGUCGGGUGUUUUCCACGUAAAAACACUGUGUUCAGUUUUUACUUCUGUGAACCACGUUUACUUACCUGUUCCACAGAUAGGCAAUUAGUAGGACGCAUACUCUAACAAGUGGUAUCAGUGUGAUGUUGUCUUAAAUAAGGCUAGAACCCAAGAAAAGGAUCAGCAUGAUGAAUUUCGCACCUCCUACUAGUCAGUGAAGGUCAGUCAACCACUAUACCUCAACUCUUUGAUGGUUCUCACUUUAUCUGGUAGAAAGCAAGGAUAGAGAUGUUCUUUCAAGAUGAAGACUAUGAAUUAUGGGACAGGAUUACUGAUGGUCCCACUAUACCAAUGAAGACUGUUGAUGGUGAACAACUCAAGAAAGUAAGGAGUGAAUUUACUCCUGAUGAGCUGUUGGCUUUGAGGAAAAAUGCAAAGGUCAAGAACAUCUUGGUUUGUGGUCUAGGACCGGAUGAAUAUAACAGGGUAUCCACCUGUACUACUGCUAAGAAAAUUUGGGAUGCACUGGUAAAUGCUCAUAAAGGUACUUCUCAAGUAAGAAAAUUCAGGAUUGCUCUCCUGUUUACUGAAUAUGAGGCAUUUAAAAUAAAGGAAAAUGAAACACUUCAUGAGAUGAUGACAAGGCUUACCACCUUAACAGAUGAGUUGACUUUCUUAGGAAAAGUCAUUUCUGAGGAAGAACAAGUUGAAAAGGUACUGAGGGUGCUACCUAAAUCAAAAUGGAAUGUUAAGGUGACUGCAAUUAGGGAGGCAAAUAAAGAUCUUGAAGGCUUGACCCUGGAUGAACUUGUAGGGAACUUAAGGACUUAUGAAAUAGAAGUUGAUGGAAUCAAAGAACAAGCAGCCCCUGAGAAGAUCUUAUCUUUAAAAGCUUUUGAUAGUUAUGAUGAAUUUGAACUUGCUAAGGAGCAAGUUGCCUUCAUAACUAAGAAUUUCAGCAAGUUCUUCAGGAAGAAGAAGGAAAUAGGUACCAAGAAACGUUCCAAUGAUAAACCAAAUGGAUGUUACAAGUGUGGAAAGAUUGAUUAUCAAAUUAGAGAAUUUCCUCUCUGGGAAAUAAAGUGGAGAAAGGAAAGGGUUGAAAAGGAACAAAAAGAAAGGGCCAAGAUAAAGGAAAAAGAAGAACAUACGAUGAUAGCUGCAUGGGGAUCUGACUCUGAUAAUGAUGAAGUUGAUGAGACAAAAUUUAUAACCUUUAGAGAUUCAGACAUUGAGGAAGAAGAUGAUGCUUCUGAGGUAAGUUUACUUGAACUCAAAGAAAAAUUGCAUCUGUUUUCUAAAAAUAAACUUGUUUCCUUGAUGAGUGAUUAAAUUGACAAUCUCCAAGAAUUGACUUCUAAUAGGGAUGAACUGUUCAUUAGCCUUGCAAGCCUAAAAUUCAAUUUCAUUGACCUGAAAGUUUUCAAACAUUCUGUUGAAAAAGAAAAUUGCACUCUCAAGAACCAAGAAACAUUGCUUGAGUCUUCAAAUAAUGAUCUUAAAUCUGAAGUUCUUAAAUUGACUUUCACUGAAAAUGGAAAAAAGGACAUGAGUAAGGAACAAGAAAAGACUGAACUUGAGUUAACUAAGUACAAACAAGAAUGCCAUGAUUUGACUGAAAAGAUGAAUAAAAUAAGUCAAGAAGUUGCUAAGUUAAAGCUGGAUCUGGAAAGAGCUAACAGAUGGACAAAUUCUUCAAGAAUUGGUCAUCAGUUGAGUUAAAGAAAUCAUAAUGAAAAAGCAGGUUUAGGUGUUUUCAAAAAGGCUGCUAAUCUACAAGAUUUAUAUUAUAUCUUUGGCAAUCUUGGACAUCCUACUACUGAAUAUCCUGUGGCUGCCAAAAGCAAAGCUAGAAGUCAGAAUCUGGCAACAAAUUUUUCUUGGACCAAGACUACAAGCACUAAAAUUGGUCUGAGAAAUAGGUCAUAUUACGUGUUUCCUGCAUGGACUAGAAGGAAUUUAAUUCAUCCUUUUACCAACAAAAUAGGGCCCAAGCUUGUCUGGGUUCCUAAAUCUAACCAUUGAUUUCUUUUGCAGGAGAUGGUGAAGGGAAACAAAAGGCACUGGUACUUAGAUAGUGCAUGCUCAAGACAUAUGACUGGUGACAAGAAAAAGUUCCUUUCACUCUCCAAAAUAGAUGGAGGAGGAGAUUCUUUUGGAAAUGGAAAAAAAGGAAUCAUUACUAGAGUUGGUAAAAUUGGCACAUCUAAGUCAAAAGUUGUUGAGGAUAUGUAUCUUGUGCAAGGAUUAAAUCAUAACCUGCUGACCAUCUCACAAUUGUGUGACAAAGGUAAUAAAGUGAUUUUUACUGUUGUAGGGGUUAAAGUCAAAAGGAUGGACACCAAAGAAAUUGUGCUUACUGCAAGGAGAUACAGAAAUGUAUACAAAGCAGACUUAAUGGCAAUACCAGGACCUGAGUUAACUUGUCUAAGUGCAAUAGAAACUGAUCCCCCCCUUUGGCACAGAAGACUUGGACAUGCAAGUCUAAAACAGCUGAACAUACUUUCAUCCAAAGGCAUGGUAUUGGGACUGCCUAAAACCAAGAUUAAGGAAGAAAAGUUAUGUGGUGCAUGUGUAAGGGGAAGCAGGUAAGAUCCUUAUUUAAGUCGAAGAACCAUGUCAGUACUACCAAGUGUCUUGAACUGGUCCAUAUGGAAUUGUGUGGACCAAUAAGACAACAAAGCAGAGGUGGAAAAAGGUAUGUUUUGUAAUUGUUGAUGAUUAUUCCAAUUUCACCUGGAUCUUGUUUCUAGCCUCUAAAGAAGAUGCCUUUGAUGUCUUUGAAAACUUCAUCAAGAAAAUGGAAAAGAAACUGGGAACUUCAUUAGUUUCCAUAAGGUCUGACCAUGGGACAGAAUUUGAGAAUGCAAAAUUCUUAGAUUUCUGUUCAUCAAAAGGCAUAGAUCAUAACUUCUCAGCUCCUAGAACACCAUAACAAAAUGGAGUGGUGGAAAGGAAGAAUAGAACCUUGGAAGAUAUGACAACAACAAUGAUGCUUGCAGAAAAUGUUACCAAAAUCCUAUGGGCUGAGGCAAUAAGUACUGCAACAUAUAUUAUAAAUAGAUGCAUAAUCAGAACCAUUUUAAAAAAGACUUCCUAUGAGUUAUGAAAAGCUAGAAAGCCUAACAUUUCUCACCUUAGAAAUUUUGGUUGCAAAUGUUUCAUACACAAUAAUGGUAAGGAUAAUCUGGGAAAAUUUGAUGCCAAAAGUGAUGAGGGAAUCUUCUUAGGUUAUUCACUUCAUAGUAAGGCUUAUAGGGUUUUAAACAACAGAUCUAACUGUGCUGAAGAAAGCAUGCAUGUGAUUUUUGAUGAAUUCUGUGAUAAGACUAACCUGCAGGAAGAAAAUGACACUGAGGAACAGGUUCGACAACAUGUUCCAUCAAUUGAAGCAGCCAAACCUGGGGGCAUUUUCAUAGGGGUAACUGAAGUUGAAGGUAUAGUGAUAGGAGGAACUGAUCCAUCAACUGACUCACAUCAGAACAUAAGCAAUGAUCCUAGCAGCUCACUUUGCUUGAUCCCAAAAGGAUACAAGUAUCAAGGCUCAUAAACCAUUGAGAAUGUACUUACUGAUCUCACUUCUGGAAUCACUACCAGAUCUGGACUGAGAAAUAUAUAUGCAUUUAAGGCAUUCCUUUCAGAGAUAAAGCCAAAGAAAGUAAUUGAGGCAUUGCUUGAUGUUGAUUGGAUCAUAGCUAUGCAGGAUGAAUUAAACCAGUUUGAGAGAAACAAAAUAUGGUACUUAGUUCCUCUUCCAAAAGAUAGAUCAGUAAUUGGAACUAAGUGGGCGUACAGAAAUAAAGUAGAUGAGCAUGGAACAGUAACAAGAAAAAAGGCAAGCCUGGUAGUUCAAGGAUACAACCAAGAAGAAGGAAUUGACUUUGAUGAGACUUUUGCUCCUGUAGCAAGACUUGAAGCUAUAAGAUUACUUGUUGAUUUUGCUUCUUACAUGGAUUUUAUUUUGUACUAGAUGGAUGUAAAGAGUGCAUUUCUGAAUGGCAUUCUCAAGGAAGAGGUUUAUAUGAAGCAACCUCCAGGAUUUGAAAGCAAGGAAUUUCUAGAUCAUGUGUACAAGCUGGAUAAAGCUUUGUAUGGGUUGAAACAAGCACCAAGGGCUUGGCAUGAGAGACUUUCAACGUUUCUACUAGAGCAUGGGCACACCAUUGGUAAAAUUGACAUUACCCUUUUCUUAAAAACUAGUGGAAAGGAUUUGUUAGUUGUGCAAAUGUAUGUAGAUCAUAUUAUUUUUGGCUCAACCAACAUGAAUAUGACUCAUGACUUUGUUAGACUCAUGAGCUGUGAGUCUGAGAUGAGCAUGAUGGGGGAGUUGAAUUGUUUCCUUGGUCUGCAAAUAAAACAAUCAGCAUCAAGGACAAUGAUCCAUCAACAGAAGUAUGUCAAAGAGCUUCUCAAAAAGUUCUCCAUGGAAGAGACUAAAGAAAUAAGUGCUCCUAUUGCCACUGCCAAAAAGAUUGACCUAGAUGAAAUAGGUUCUAUUGUAGAACAAAAAUUGUAUAGAGGUAUGAUAGGAUCUUUGUUGUACCUCACAGCAAACAGACCUGACAUUGUGUUCAGUAUAGGACUAUGUUCUAGGUUUCAAGCCAAUCCAAAAGAAUCACAUCUGAAAUCCAUAAAAAGAAUCUUGAGAUAUUUGAAAGGAACAAGUGAUCUUGGUUUGUGGUAUCCCAAAGGAAGUAACUUUAAUGUGGUAGGAUAUUCUGAUGCUGGUUAUGCAGGAUAUCUGGUGGGCAGAAAAAGCACUACAAGUAUGGCAUACUUCUUGGGAUCAUGUUUGACUACCUGAUCCACAAAGAAGCAAAAUUCAAUAGCCUUGUCGAUUGCUAAGGAUGAAUACAUUGUUGCUGUUUUGCGGAGAAAUUUUGACUUAUUGAGAAGAGAGUCGCCACUUAAUUUUGGAAAGGAAUUAAGAAACCUUUAGAAAGUUACUUCAAACAAUUCAAACAGAAAAAUUAUUUAAGUUAAGAGAUUCUGAGUAAGCGAUUCCUAUUAAUGUUUUAGGAAGGUGUUAGGCACCUAAAACUUCCGCUAACUUGCGGCUAUCCAGACUGUUUGAAAAUGUCUUUUGAUUAACUUCUAAAAAGAUUAAUUUGUUGAAAAGUGAUUGAUUUUUUAGAAAAAAGACUGUGUAAGAUAGAUUUAGGCAACUUAGUACGGAUUUUAACUAAGUCUAAACAAAACUAAUAAACAAAUAAACACAUAAAAGGGGAAGGGAGGAGAAAGUAAAGGACCUGCCCGAGUCUAGUUGGGCUUCCGACCCAUUUCUCCUUUCACCUGUCCUAUUUCUAUGUUAUCGAGCCCUUUGGCUCGAGUUUUCGCUUCACCUGUGUUAAGUGCAACUUUGGCUUCGAGGUUGAAGUGAAUGAAUAAUUAAAUAAGUAAAAUAAAUAAAAUAAGGGUGUUAAUUCUUAAAUAAAUAAAAUGACAAAUUAUAAUUUCGCAUCUUUUUGCCGCUUCAGAUAUGGGAAUUUAACCCAUUUUUCUUCUUUAAUCUUCUUACGCCAAUACGUCAAGUGACUGACUUCGAACAUGGUCUUUGGAAUCGACUAGAAGAAGUGGGCCGCAUUGACCCUCGAAAAUAUGCAAANNNNNNNNNNNNNNNNNNUACUCGGGCAAUUUCCAUGUAAAGAACAAUAAAUAAUAUUAACAUAUGAUUGACCAAAGAAAGAGGAAAGAAAUUAAAUGAAAUUAAUAUGGGUUUAACUAAAAAUAGCAGCAUACAGAUCUUCAAUAAUCAAUAAAGUAGGCAAAUUCACAAAGGUUGAUAUGCGACUAAACAAAGAUAGAAGAAUAUAUAAAGGUAGCGAAUACGUGAUUAACUGAAGAACUACAUGACGCAGAUCUUAACUAAUCUUUUAGGACAUUGUUUUCGAAGAUGGCAAAACAAAUUCAAGAAUAUAAAGGCAAAGCAUAUGAUACCUUCACGACUAAUUUGGAAUAAUUGCUUAUACACAUAGGGAUAAGAUUAGCCCUCAUUAAAGGACAAUAAAUAGUUGGGUGAAAGCUCAUAGCCCAAACAAAGGCUCUUUCUUGGAAAAUAUUUAAACCAAAGCUAGGAUUUUAACAUAAACUCUAUUUAGGGAAAUCACACAUUUUACAUCUAUUGGAACUCAAUCUCAACGGAGAACUAAUAAACACCUAAAGCAUAACUUCAAGACAUUCUCUAGCACAAACAGAUGCCUGAAACAGAGGAAGUAACUAUCUUUCAUUAACACAAUUGGAGACAUAACGAGAAUUGUUGAAUGCAACACCAUCACAUAUACACACAUUUUUUUAACAUGCUCGUACGCAUGGGGAGUCUUUAAAUCUUCCGAUUAUAAGGAAAGAAAACACUGAUCUCAUGACAAUACUUCAAACUUUGAAUAUAAUUCAACCCAGGCAAAACUAUCACCCACCAAAAUAAAAAAUGCAAUCUUGAGUAACGACAAGACGGAACAUUACUAGUUCAACAGUUACAAUAACGACAAAUAGUGACGGCAAGAAAAACCAAAGAAUGUUUCAAUCCUCUUCCUCUUUCCGACCGAGUCAAACGGACUGGUCAUUGAGAUAUCCUAGGAUUUUUGGUACUUUUUUUUGGACCUUACUCUCAUUUUCCCUUUGGCAUAUAAUAAACCAAAGGAGCCUACGAGGUGGUCCUGCUAGCAACACUGCUAGCUUGACAGCCGUGACACCAACUACUUGUAACCACAUGAUCAACACAGUCAAACAACAACUACGAACCAAAUAGCAUCUGGCUAGAAACUGCUAAAUAAACUAAAAGCAACAAACAUUAGCCAGAAAACCAAUCAUUCUAGCCACAAGCAAUACGCCAAGAGAGGCAUUAGGCUGAAGAUUAAUCCAUAACAAUAAAAGUGGAUGACAGAUUACGGAACCAAGAUGAAAAAAAUGAAUAGACGAAAACGACGUGAUACAAUCCAAAUAAGAAUUAAUCCUAACAUAACAAUACAUCCAAAACUUUUCACUAAAAAAAACUUAUAUGGUCUUUAAAACCUCUACAGAGGUCAGCCCAACAUACAAGAUAAUCUCAAAUUACUUAGGACUACAGAAUAGUGAGAUGAAGCAGAAGAAAUCUUAAGCUUAAAGGAAUAGGACGUUACCUUUCAGGGAGCGGCAAAACGGGACUGGAGCUAUCAGUAAAAUUGUCACCACGGGGAGCUAAUAUUUUCGACUCGGGAAUUCCCAAUCAAUCGACUAGCUUCCCAGAAAAGAAUGAAUGAGAGAAUUUUUGCGAAAUAAACUUUUACUUUAAGAAUUUCCCAAAAUUCAAACCUAGCUUUGGAAAUAGUAUCCCUAAAAGAAUAACCACCACCACCACCCCCCUCCCAAUUUUCGAAACAGCCUUUCGAACCAGCCUAAAAAAUUUUCCUUCAGUUUCUUUCAAAACCUCUGAAUCUUUGACCUAAACUUCGAACUAAAAAACUCAGAACUUUUCCUUUCUCUCAGACCUCAAAAAUUCAAACCCUAAAAAUGACGCAGAAGAAAACCCUUCCCUUUUCGAACCACCCCCAUUUUUGACUAAUUAAUUUUUUUAUUUUUCUAAGAGCCUAAAAAGAGAAAAUCCCCUUCCAAAAGAGAAAGAAUAUCACUAAAACAGUGGGCCCAAGGGACUUUAUAUAGAAGAAAGGGUUAGGGUAUUUUCGAAAUUCGGAAGAAGGAAUUUUGAAUUCCAAUUCCAAAAUUUUCUCCCCCCGAGCCUGUUUUCAUCCAUCGAUUGUACCCUUUUUUGUUGUUUCUCAUGAAAUUCGAAAAUGGAGUAGCCAAUAGAAAGCACUUCACCCCAAGAACCAAUGAUAAAUCUCCACCAACGUAUGAAUUUGUACCAUGGUACCCGAGAUUCGUGGGAUUUGAACGUUGGGGUGUGCCAACUCACCCAUUUCUAGAAGCUUUCUUGAAUUUUUAUGGCAAACACAUGCCAUCUAGGCGGGUCAAAGUUGGUUCGACGUUGGUGUUGUUGUUUCGGGUAUGGGAGACGGGUUCGCUGGUUGUUGAUAUUGUUGGGUUCUGAAUUUGCAAUGUUGCCGUUGUUUUCGAUCGGAGUGGAGAUAUAGGUGUUGUUUGCUAGUUUGGCUGAGAUUGAAGGACCGUCAAUGUUAUUGUUGGUUUGUUUUGUGGUGAUUGUACUCUGGUUAAGGGAAAGUGGGACGAGCAUUGGGACGGAUCAAGAUUUGUUGGGCCUUAGUGGGUGCAGACGGAUUUGGACCUGAUCCCUUUUUAAUUAAUUAAAAGGGAGUUACUGAUAUGCAAAUUUGGGCCAUCGAUUUGGGCCGUUAAAUUAGUUAAGUUUUUGGGUUUGGGUAGAUUGUGGGAUUAGUUAGAAAAAUAACAUCAAUUUUAAUUCAGUUCAUUCUAUUUAAAUUUUAACCAAAUCAAAAGUAAAUUGGCCAAUUGUAUUGCAAUUAUAACCCAUUUAGUUUCAAUUAUGGUCAAAUUCAAUAGCUUGGCUAAAUUAAAAUAAAUCUUGAUACGAAUUAAUACCUAUUUUAAUCCCAAGUUUCUUGAUUUAAUAAAAUCAAACAAAUAUAUAUCCAAAAAAAUUAUUUGACAAUAAUUUUUUUUUAAAUCAAGACUUUAAUUAUUUAUUUAUUUUUCAAAUAAUCCUUAAUUUAAAGCCCAAUGUGAUGAAAAUGUUCAUUUAAAUGACAUCAUUUAUACAAUCUCAUAUAUGAAAAAAUGAAAAUAUAUAAUUAUCACUUAAAUGACCAAAUUAGCCCAAAUACCUAUUUUAAAAUGCAUUUAUUUGGAAAAAUAAUUUUUGUGAUUUUAUUUAAAAAUCGAAGAAGCUCGAGAUUAAAUGUAGUUGUAGAGGGAAAAAAUUAGGUGUCAACAACUGCCCCCUCCCUUUGGGUAGGAUGGAUGCAAGUAAUCCUGGACAAAGGGAGGUUGACGUUCCUAAUUUUUGUCCGACCAUAAAUUUGUAUCUAAGAGAGGCUGGUUUUCUGCACCAGUUUCAUGGAGUUAUGGCCAAACCUCGGUAUAAGGUUUCCUACAUAUCUCAAGUUUCAUGAGAAUUCAGGCCACUUGUAGUUCAUAAAGUUUGAUUUUGAGCAUGAUUUUAAAACAAUUCACAAGUUAUCUCGAUUUUAGAGUUUUUGAUAAAAUCGAGAAACUGGGGAAUAAAGGGAUUAGGGGGGAGUUUGGAAUUCAAUCGAGUUUUCUAAAUAGAUUUCAGCCUACAUAUCCCCAAGAUUUUAGGGAAUUAGAUUGCUUGUAGUUCGACUUGAUCGGUAGAAAAGAUUGUCUUUUAUUUCAGACGAUCUUUGGCUCAAGAUGAGUGGCAAGUUGAUCGAGUUGCGGAAAAGAGGCUUGUAACCUCUUAACCAUGAACGUAGAGCUCUUCACAUCUAUAUGUAAGAAUUUACCUAGGCAUAAUUUCAAAAACUCUAUAGCUUUAUCACUCACAUUCGAAGGAAAAAAAAAUUUCCCCUCGGUGUGAGUUAAGAAAACAUCCCAGAGGUAAAGCUAAGACUGUAAUAUCAAAAAAUACCCGCAUUCCUUCUAAUAGAGGCGUGGUUAGAUGGUGGUGGUGAUCAUUAUUUAGCUCGUGUCUAGAGAGGUUGACAUCUCUCUCCAGACUAUGUCCCAUUUUGCUGCCGAGAAAGAGUUCCACGUCGUGCUGUCUUCUUUUUUGGAGUCGUCUGCACCUGUGGUUUUGAUUUGAGAUUUUCAUCCUUUCGGAUUCUCUCAAUUAUUUCUCAUACAAAAAUCAUUAGUGAUAAGCUUAAUUCACAAAAGAAGUAUAUAGUAUUAUACCAUAUCUCCGCGUGAGUCAUUGUCUAAAAAGCGAAGUCAUCCUUUUUUGUACCUGUUUGAUAGGAAAUAACUCGCAAUAACAGACACAACAACCUCUUUGGUUGUUGCAUAAUUAGCUCAUCUAUCAAGCGAAUAUGUUUUCAAAGUGGGUGGCCCUUUUAGACACUGACGACACUUUAUACGGAACGGUCCCUACAAUCGUGUAAUCUUGUGCUGGUGGGGCAACCCUUUUGGUUACCUAUAUCACUUGUUGUAUAUGGAAUGGUAACCUCUCCGGUUAUAGACGAUGGCUAAUUUAUAAAUUUCCUUUAAAUUGUCAAUCUUUGAAUAAUCUUGCGCAUUAUUUAAUGUUGGAUACGAGGCAACUUAUAGAUAUUCUUUGAAUUUCUAGCUUUUAAGUAAUCCUGCACAUUAUCCAACUUUGGAUAAGAGAUGGCUUAUAGAUAUCCCUCCAAUCGCUAGCUUUCAGGUGUUCCUGCACAUCAUCCAACCUUGGAUACAAUAUGACUUAUAGAUAAUCUCUCAAAUUGUUAGUCUUUGGGUAAUCCUGCACAUAAUCGAUCUUGGAUAUGACAUGGCUUAUAGAGAACCCUUGGACGUACCAAUUUGAUAAUCUUGCAUAUUCUCCGGUAAGGAUUUAGUUUCGACUUAUGGAUAACCUUUGAACUAUCGACUUUUGGGUGAUCUUGCACACUAUCCGAUUAGGAUGUUGUUGUGGCUUACGGAUGACCUGCAGGCUAUCAACUCAUAGGUGAUCUUGCACACUAUCCUAUUUCAAAUAAUAUGACUUAUAGAUGACCCUCAAAUUUUUAAUUUCUAGGAAACCUUAUAUAUCAUUCAUCCUUAGAUAGCGACUUAAAGGCGUCCCUUCAAAUCAUGUGCUCUCGAUGCGUUCAGAUGCUGAUUUAUGAAAAGAUGGUGAUAUCCUCGAUGCCAGCAUUGUGUCUAGUGCGUCAAAAGAUAUAUUGAACGUUGAUGAUAUCCUCGAUGCCAGCGUUGUGUCUAGCGCAUCAACAGAUAUUAAAUGAUGAUGAUAUCCUCAAUGCCAGCAUUGUGUCUAGAGCGUCAACAGAUAUUGAAUGCCUUCUAGGGUGAUGGUAUUAGGUGGCCCUUGCGGCAAUGAUAUGAAAUGGGCCUUGCGGCAAUGACAUGAAAUUGUCCUUGCGGCAAUGAUAUGCAAUGGCCUUUGCGGUAAUGAUAUGCAAUGGCCUUUGCAGCAAUGAUAUGCAAUUGCCUUUGGGGCAAUGAUAUGUAAUAGCCUUUUCGGCAAUGAUAUGCAAUGGUCUUUGCGGCAAUGAUAAAAUAAUUUUACCUGGCUUUAUUUGUCAGUGUCCUGCUUUCUCUAUGUACCGGUACUCAAGGUAGACGAUUAGUAGACACAAAGUCGCUUCUACUAGCGACUAUUUUUAGGAAACUUCUAAAUACAACAUUUGUAAAGAAGACAAAGAGCUUUUUCUUGUCGCCUACGAUCUCAAGAAAUGAGAUGGAAAAAUCGAAAGUUCCUCAAUAAAUGGGCAUUUAACCUAUUUUUAGAGCUACCCUAAAAUACCGUUCUUGGGUAUUAAUGCUCUAUUAUGGCUCCCACUUUGCUCGGGGAUUUUUUAAAGAGACCAUCAUUUUGUAUAUUGAACCUUGCUUCCACAGAAAAAUGAUUAUUUUGAAUGAAAUUACUCUGUGUUGACCUUUUUCGAUCCUUGAUUUGCUCCUUGCCAUCUCUUGUGAAUUCCACCAUAUCGGUACUUUCAUCAUGACACUCCAUCCCAAAUGAUGUCUAGGCAAGUACUAAAUAAGUGAGUCAUAAGAUUUUUGAAAAUAGUCUUAAAUUUUUUGAAAAUAAUUUUGAAAACUUUUGUAAAACUUUAGAAAAUCUCUGUCAGUCAUGUCAUGUACUAGCUCAACGAAAGUCUUCCUCGUGGUUUUGACUAUAUCAGACGGAUGGUUUCCCAAACUCAUGAUCAUUGUUGGAGGUUUUAUUCGAAUAGUUCUAUCAUAGCCAAAAAUUGAGUCUACCCAGACUUUAUUACAAUUGGUGGCUUCCAAAUCUUGACUUUAACCUUUGGUGCUGGGGAAUUUGGAAUAUUUUCCGGCAUUUGGUGAAAUUUUGAGGUCUUCCUCAAAAUUUCUUCCCCAGCUUAAAGUUGUUUGAGAUGAUAUCAAUCCAAGUAGAUCUGAAGUCUUUGCUGAUCUUCAUUCUAUUUGUUGGAUGUCAAUCUUAUCUUCUGAAUUUUUGAGAUUCCUUCUCAAAAAUUCUGCCCCAGUUUUUAUUUCCUGGGGUUAUAUGACCGACAUGUCGGGGCGCCUACAUAUCCCGUUGAAGUAGGAAUCAGGUCAAACAUAGUUCAGGACUACGCUAGGGAUAUAUAAAGAAAAAUCUAAUGGGUUGAUUGAAGCCGACAUAGGCCGCCUAAGUAUCCCUUUUGUUGGGAAUUCAGGUCAUCACGUAGUUCAUACAUAAAGUGAAACGAUAAAUUAUCCUAAGGGGUUGACCAAAGCCGACAUAGGCUGCCUCCGUAUCCCUUUCUUUGGAAUUCAGGUCAAACGUAGUUCGUACAUAGAGGGAAAGGAUAAAUUUUCCUAAGGGGUUGGCCGAAGCUGACAUAGGCCGCCUACGUAUCGCUUUCUUUGGAAUUCAGGUCAAACGUAGUUCGUACAUAGAGGGAGAGGAUAAAUUUUGAUAAGGGGUUGACCGAAGCCGACAUAGGCUGCCUAUGUAUCCCUUUCUUUGGAAUUCAGGUCAAACGUAAUUCAUACACAGAGGGAAAGGAUUAAUUUUCCUAAGGGGUUGACCGAAGCCGACAUAGGCCGCCUAUGUAUCCCUUUAUUUGGAAAUCAGGUCAAACGUAGUUCGUAUAUAAACUCAUAAUGGCCCUAAAAAUACUCUUAUCCAUCUUACUAGGAUAUAAAUAAGUACUUCUAUGGAUGACAUGCCGUUUGCAUUGCGUUUGUCUUGAUAGAACAAAGGAUCAAAUGUCCAAUGGAGUCAUCGCCUUCCUAGUUAACCACCUCGGUUUUCUCUAGAUUAGGCUUUUUUGAUUCUCGAACUCUUUGAGUCUUCUGUCGACUUUUCUAGGGCUACCAUUAUUUUGUUUCUUGACAUGACAUGAAAAUGGCAAAUUUUAAGUUACUGUUAUACGACGGGUGAUGAAUCAUGAGUGGAGUGGAGGUCCAAUUCAAUAAUGUUUCGUCCAAUUAAACGUCCAUGAUCCCAUUUGUCUUGGAAAAAUCUCCCCUUACAUUUUUCCCUUAUUCCAUCCUCGAGACUAUCGCAUACAGGGUUGAAAAAUGAUUGGUAGAGUCCAACCAUACUACUAGUCAUUUUUCUUUUCCUGUAACAAAACUAUAGUCAAGAAGGGGAUCUCUUAUUCAUUUUGAUCUGGUGAAGCAAGGUCAUUUUGUGUCAACACAGAGUAGUUUCUAUUACCUGCAAUAAAAACAACUCAAACGCCGAUUUAUUAGUUUCCGUAUGUGAUAAGUAAUGCAAAAUACUUGAUAAGAAAUGACCACAUAGAGUUGUUUGAGUCAUAGCCAAAUUCAUCCAUAGAAGCAUAGCGGAUAAAAUUUCCUUUGAUCCAAACAAACACACAUAAGCACAUAAGGCAAUUAUAUCACACAAAACAUUAUAAUAAUGUGUAUCCUAACUGGGGUGACCCUUUUUGAGCCAAGGGUUCAGGCCUAACGAUUUUCGAGGAAAAUAUAUGCUUCCUAAAAGUCAAUACAUUAUCCCCCAAUUUUCAUAGAGGUUGUCAGGUUCGGUGACUAUUCUAAACUUUUCGCGGGAAUGCAAUUGAGCCAUAUCUACACGAAAGCAGACAAAGAUAAGCCUUCCCCCACCAUCAAAGGGUAAUGGAUUGAAUUUAGACAAGCAUAUAUUUCUUCAACACAUAAAUAUGAUUCAUCUAUAAUUGACUCGGGAUUAAUAAACGCAAGGCAGUUUUUCUAAUCGGCCCAAUACACCGCUCGGGUAUUGGGUCGCCCUAGACUUAUGCAUAAAAAUAGGGUUUCAAUUUUGCUCUAUCCUAGGUAGCCAGAGAGGGUUUGAACAAUGGUUCUUAAGCGGACAACUUGAGUUUGAAAAUAAAAACAGCCAUAAGACGACUCACGUGCUAAUAAACUGUUUGUAUUUCCAUCAGAUCUUUGAAAUUGAUCAAUAGGGGCCAGGAUACCUACGAAACGCCAAAACAGUUUAUAUAAUGCAGGAAUAUACCAUGAGUGCGAUAGUUAAAUUUUAUAGAAUCGAAACAUAUAAACACAUAAACAAUUAAUCAAAAGACGAAAUCAAACAUUCAGUUUAGAACCUAGUUCAAAAAAUCCCCACCAGAGUCGCCAUUUCUGUUUUACGAAGAAAUUUUGACUUAUUGAGAAGAGAGUCGCCACUUAAUUUUCAAAAGGAAUUAAGAACCUUUAGAAAGUUACUUCAAAUGAUUUAAAACAGAAAAAUCGUUUAAGUUAAGAGAUUCUGAGUAAGUAGUUCCUAUUAACAUUUUAGGAAGGUGUUAGGCAUCUAAAACAUCCGCUAACUUGUGGUUAUCCAAACUGUUUGAAAACGUCUUUUGAUUAACUUCUAAAAAGAUUAAUUUGUUGGAAAGUGAUUGAUUUUUUAGAAAAAAGACACGUGUAAGAUAGAUUUAGGCAACUUAGUAGGGAUUUUAACUAAGUCUAAACAAAAUUAAUAAACAAAUAAACACAUAAAAGGGAAGGGAGGAGAAAGUAAAGGAUUUAGGCCAUUAGGCCCAAAUCAACAAGACCUGUCCUAGUCUAAUUGGACUUCCGACCCAUUUCUCCUUUCACCUGUCCUAUUCCUAUGUUUUCGAGCCCUUUGGAUCAAGUUUUCGCUUCACCUGUGUUAAGUACAACUUUGGCUUCGAGGCCGAAAUGAAUGAAUAAUUAAAUAAGUAAAAUAAAUAAAAUAAGGACGUUAAUGCUUAAAUAAAUAAAACGACAAAUUAUACUUUCGCAUCUUUUUGCCGCUUCAGAUAUGGGAAUUUAACCCAUUUUUCUUCUUUUAUCUUCUUGCGCCCAUACGUCAAGUGAAUGACUUCGAACUUGGUCUUUGGAAUCGGCUAGAAGAAGUGGGCUGCAUUGGCCCACAAANNNNNNNNNNNNNNNAAGAGUCCUUGUAUGACUCAGGCAAUUUCCAUGUGAAGAACAAUAAAUAAUAUUAACAUAUGAUUGACCAAAGAAAAAGGAAAGAAAUUAAAGGAAAUUAAUGUGAGUUUAACUAAAAAUGGCAGCAUACGGAUCUUCAAUAAUAAAUAAAGUAGGAAAAUUCACAAAGGUUGGUAUGCGACUAAACAAAGAUAGAAGAAGAUAUAAAGGUAGCGAAUACGUGAUUAACUAAAGAACUACAUGACACAGAUCUUAACUAAUCUGUUAGGACAUUGUUUUCGAAGAUGGCAAAACAAAUUCAAGAAUAUAAAGGCAAAGCAUAUGACACCUUCACGACUAAUUUGGAAUAAUUGCUUAUGCACAUAGGGAUAAGAUUAGCCCACGUUGAGAAGACUCAUUAAAGGACAAUAAAUAUUUGGGUAAAAGCUCAUAGCCCAAACAAAGGCUCUUUCUUGGAAAACAUUUAAACCAAAGCAAUGAUUUUAACAUAAAAUCUUCUCACGGAAAUCACACAUUUUACAUCUAUUGGCACUCAAUCGCAACGGAGAACUAAUCAAUACCUAAAGCAUGACUUCAAGAUAUUCUCUAGAACAAACUGAUGCCUGAAACAGAGACAGUAACCAUCUUUCAUUAACACAAUUGGAGACACAACGUGAAUUGUAGAAUGCAACGCCAUCACAUAUACACACAUUUUUUUAACAUGCUCAUACGCAUGGGGAGUCUUUAAAUAUUCCGAUUAUAAGGAAAGAAAACACUAAUCUCAUGAAAAUAUUUCAAACUUUGAAUGUAAUUCAACCCAGGCAAAACCAACACCCACCAAAAUAAAAAAUGCAAUCUUGAGUAAUGACAUGAAAAUCAGAAAAUUACCGCGACUAUGGAAUAGAGAAAACAAAGAACAUGGAAAACGGAGGACACAAGAUGGAACAUUACCGGUUCAACAGUUACAAUAAUGACAAAUAGUGACGGCAAGCAAAACUAUAGAAUGCUUCAAUCCUCUUCCUCUUUCCGACCGAGUCGAACAAAAUGGUCAUUGAGAUAUCCUAGGAUUUUUGGUACGUUUUUUGGACCUUACUCUCAUUUUCCCUUUGGCAUAUAAUAAACCAAAGGAGCCUACGAGGUGGUCCUGCUAGCAACACUGCUAGCUCAACAGCCGUGACACCAACUAGUGGUAACCACAUGAUCAACACAGUCAAACAACAACUAUGAACCAAACAGCAUCUGGCUAGAAACUGCUAAAUAAACUAAAAGCAACAGACUUUAGCCAAAAAACCAAUCAUUCUAUCCACAAGCAAUACGCCAAGAGAGACAUUAGGCCGAAGAUUAAUCCACAACACCAAAAGUGGCUGACAGAUUACGGAACCAAGAUUAGAAAAAAGGGAACAGACGGAAACGAUGUGAUACAAUCCGAAUAAGAAUUAAUCCUAACAUAACAAUACAUCCAAAACUUUUCACUAAAAAAAAAACCUUAUAUGGUCUUUAAAACCUCUAAAGCAGUCAGCCCAGCAUACAAGAUAAUCUCAAAUUGCUUAGGACUACAGAAUAGUGAGAUGAAGCAGAAGCAAUCUUAAGCUUAAAGGAAUAGGAAGUUACCUUACAGGAAGCGGCAAAACGGGACGUGAGAUAUCAGUAAAAUUGUCACCACGGGGAGCUAAUAUUGCCGACUCAAGAAUUCCCAAUCAAUCGACUAGCUUUCCAGAAAAGAAUGAACGAGAGAAUUUUCGCGAAAUAAACUUUUACUUUCAGAAUUUCCCAAAAUUCAAACCUAUCUUUGGAAAUAGUAUCCCCAAAAGAANNNNNNNNNNNNNNNNNNNNNNNNNNNNNNNNNNNCCCCAAUUUUCAAACCAGCCUAAAAAUUUCUCCUUCAGUUUCUUUCAAAACCUUCGAAUCUUCGACCUAAACUUCAAACUAAAAUACUCAAAACUUUUCCUUUCUCUCAGACCUCAAAAAUUCAAACCAUACAAAUGAUGCAGAAGAAAACCCUUCCCUUUUUGAACCUCCCCCCAUUUUCGACUGAUUAAUUUUUUUUCUAAGAGCCUAAAAUGAGAAAAUCCCCUUCCAGAAGAGAAAGAAGAACACUAAAACAAUGGCCCCAAGGGCCUUUAUAGAAGAAAGGGUUGGGGCAUUUUCGGAACUCGGAAGAAGGAAUUUUGAAUUCCAAUUUCAAAAUCCCCCCCCAAUGAGAAAUCUCCACCAACGUACGAAUUUGUACCAUGGUACCCGAGAUUCGUGGGAUUUGAACGUUGGGGUGAGCCAACUCACCCAUUUCUAGAAGCUUUCUUAAAUUUCCACGGCAAACAAAUGAAAUCUAGGAGGGUCGAAGUCGGGUCGAUGUUGGUGUUGUUGUUUCGGAUAUGGGAGAUGGGUUAGCUGGUUGUUGAUAUUGUUGGGUUCUGAAUUUGCAAUGUUGUCGUUGCUUUCAAUCGGAGUGGAGGUGUAGGUGUUGUUCGCUGUUUUUGUUGAGAUUGAAGGACUGUUGAUGUUAUUGCUGGUUUGUUUUGUGGAGAUUGUACGCUGGUUAAGUGAAAGUGGGAGGAGGAUUGGGCCGAAUCAAGAUCUGUUGGGCCUUAGUGGAUGCAGACGGAUUUGGGCCUGAUCCCUUUUUAUUAAUUAAAAGGGAGUUGCUGAUAUGCAAAUUUGGGCCUUUAAAUUGGUUAAGUUUUCGAGUGUUGGGUAGAUUGUGGGAUUACUUAGAAAAUUAACACCAAUUUUAAUUCAGUUCAUUCUAUUUAAAUUUUAACCAAAUCAAAAUUCAAUUAGCCAAUUGUAUUGCAAUUAUGAUCCAUUAGUUUCAGUUAUGGUCAAAUUCAAUAGCUUGGCUAAAUUAAAAUAAAUCUCGAUACAAAUUAAUACCUCUUUUAAUCCCAAAUUUCAUGAUUUAAUAAAAUCAAACAAAUAUAUAUCCA
rnacentral:lncRNA from 1 species